GAUGAAGAACGCAGCGAAAUGCGAUAAGUAGUGUGAAUUGCAGAAUUCAGUGAAUCAUCGAAUCUUUGAACGCACAUUGCGCCUCCUGGUAUUCCGGGAGGCAUGCCUGUUCGAGCGUCAUUAAAAACCACUCAAGCUCUUUUGCUUGGUAUUGGGAGAUGAGUAUACUUUUCCUAGUUUACUCACUUUCGAAAUUCAAAGGCGUAGAGCCCCACAUACCACAGCGUAGUAAGUUUUUCUUUCGCUUGGAGUGUGAGGUGAUAUUGCCACAAACCCCCAAUUAUUUUCUAGGUUGACCUCGGAUCAGGUAGGGAUACCCGCUGAACUUAAGCAUAUCAAUAAGCGGAGGA
rnacentral:misc_RNA from 1 species